AUUGAACGCUGGCGGCAGGCCUAACACAUGCAAGUCGAACGCGUGGCGGACGGGUGAGUAAUGUCUGGGAAACUGCCCGAUGGAGGGGGAUAAAUACUGGAAACGGUAGCUAAUACAGCAUACCAUCGGAUGUGCCCAGAUGGGAUUAGCGUGUAGGUGAGGUAACGGCUCACCUCGGCGCCGAUCCCUCGCUGGUCUGAGAGGAUGACCAGCCACACUGGAACUGAGACACGGGCCAGACUCCUGCGGGAGGCAGCAGUGGGGAAUAUUGCACAAUGGGCGCAAGCCUGAUGCAGCCAUGCCGCGUGUAUGAAGAAGGCCUUCGGGUUGUAAAGUACUUUCAGCGGGGAGGCGUUACCCGCAGAAGAAGCACCGGCUAACUCCGUGCCAGCAGCCGCGGUAAUAC
rnacentral:rRNA from 1 species